GAAGUACGAUCGUAGCUAUAGUUAACAUGUAUGACAACUGUUGUUGGCACCACCGUGAUCAUAGAUCGUGUCAUGGUUUGGUAAGCUGCAAAUUGCUGUUAUAAAUGAAAUGAAUUGAUCAUUCCACAUGGGUAGUCAGAAAUCCGUAUUUCUCUCAGUAGAUUGAAGUCGGAACGACUUCACGAAGCAUGACAUGAAAAACAGUGCAUAUCAUGAUUUAUUUGAUUUUUUCUAUUUUCAGCAUGAUAUAUUU
rnacentral:lncRNA from 1 species